rnacentral:rRNA from 1 species
GCUUACAUCUCUUCGGAGCAUUUUACGAGGUGCUGCAUGGUUGUCGUCAGCUCGUGCCGUGAGGUGUCGGGUUAAGUCCCAUAACGAGCGCAACCCUACCUUUAGUUGCCAUCAGGUAAUGCUGGGGACUCUAAAGGAACUGCCUACGCAAGUAGUGAGGAAGGCGGGGAUGACGUCAAAUCAGCACGGCCCUUACGUCCAGGGCUACACACGUGCUACAAUGGCCGAUACAGAGGGCAGCUACCUGGUGACAGGAUGCAAAUCUCCAAAGUCGGUCUCAGUUCGGAUCGGAGUCUGCAACCCGACUCCGUGAAGUUGGAUUCGCUAGUAAUCGCGCAUCAGCCAUGGCGCGGUGAAUACGUUCCCGGGCCUU